UACGAAGGGGGCUAGCGUUGCUCGGAAUUACUGGGCGUAAAGGGAGCGUAGGCGGACAGUUUAGUCAGAGGUGAAAGCCCAGGGCUCAACCUUGGAAUUGCCUUUGAUACUGGCUGUCUUGAGUACGGGAGAGGUGUGUGGAACUCCGAGUGUAGAGGUGAAAUUCGUAGAUAUUCGGAAGAACACCAGUGGCGAAGGCGACACACUGGCCCGUUACUGACGCUGAGGCUCGAAAGCGUGGGGAGCAACAGG
rnacentral:rRNA from 1 species